UUGCUGGUUGUUCAGUGGUAGAAUUCUUGCCUCUCACGCAGGAGACCUGGGUUCAAUUCCCGGCCAAUAUA
rnacentral:tRNA from 1 species